AACGAACGCUGGCGGCAUGCCUAACACAUGCAAGUCGAACGCCAUGGUUUCGGCCAUGGAGUGGCGCACGGGUGAGUAACGCGUGGGAACCUGCCCAGCAGUAUGGGACAACCGCGGGAAACUGCGGCUAAUACCGUAUACGCCCGUCUUUGGGAGACCAGGGGCGGGGAAAGAUUGAUCGCUGUUGGAGGGGCCCGCGUCGGAUUAGGUAGUUGGUGGGGUAAAGGCCUACCAAGCCUGCGAUCCGGAGCUGGUCUGAGAGGAUGAUCAGCCAAACUGGGAUUGAGACACGGCCCAGACUCCUACGGGAGGCAGCAGUGGGGAAUAUUGGACAAUGGGCGCAAGCCUGAUCCAGCAAUGCCGCGUGAGUGAUGAAGGCCUUAGGGUUGUAAAGCUCUUUCACACGCGACGAUGAUGACGGUAGCGUGAGAAGAAGCCCCGGCUAACUCCGUGCCAGCCGCCGCCGUAACAC
rnacentral:rRNA from 1 species